AUCUAUAGCCAUGCCACCCUGAACAAGCCCAAUUCCAUCUGAUCUCGGAAGCUAAGCAGGGUGGAGCCUGAUUAGUACUUGGAUGGGAAACCAUCUAGGAAGACCAGGUGCUGCAGGCA
rnacentral:rRNA from 1 species